AAACUAACAAGGAUUCCCCUAGUAGCGGCGAGCGAAGCGGGAAGAGCUCAAAUUUAUAAUCUGGCACCUUCGGUGUCCGAGUUGUAAUCUCUAGAAGUGUUUUCCGCGUUGGACCGCACACAAGUCUGUUGGAAUACAGCGGCAUAGUGGUGAAACCCCCGUAUACGGUGCGGACGCCCAGCGCUUUGUGAUACACUUUCAAAGAGUCGAGUUGUUUGGGAAUGCAGCUCAAAUUGGGUGGUAAAUUCCAUCUAAAGCUAAAUAUUGGCGAGAGACCGAUAGCGAACAAGUACCGUGAGGGAAAGAUGAAAAGCACUUUGGAAAGAGAGUUAACAGUACGUGAAAUUGUUGGAAGGGAAACGCUUGAAGUCAGACUUGCUUGCCGGAGCUUGCUUCGGUUUGCAGGCCAGCAUCAGUUUUUCGGGGUGGAUAAUGGCGGUUUGAAGGUAGCAGCCUCGUGCUGUGUUAUAGCUUUCCGCUGGAUACAUCCUGGGGGACUGAGGAACGCAGCGUGCUUUUUGCGAAGGUUUCGACCUUUUCACGCUUAGGAUGCUGGUGGAAUGGCUUUAAACGAC
rnacentral:rRNA from 1 species